rnacentral:rRNA from 1 species
UAUUUAUUAGAUAAAAAACCAAUGCCCUUCGGGGCUCCUUGGUGAUUCAUAAUAACUUAACGAAUCGCAUGGCCUUGCGCCGGCGAUGGUUCAUUCAAAUUUCUGCCCUAUCAACUUUCGAUGGUAAGAUAGUGGCUUACCAUGGUCUCAACGGGUAACGGGGAAUUAGGGUUCUAUUCCGGAGAGGGAGCCUGAGAAACGGCUACCACAUCUAAGGAAGGCAGCAGGCGCGCAAAUUACCCACUCCCGGCACGGGGAGGUAGUGACGAGAAAUAACGAUGCGGGGCCCAUAUGGGCGCUCGUAAUCGGAAUGAGUACACUUUAAAUCCUUUAACGAGGACCUAUUGGAGGGCAAGUCUGGUGCCAGCAGCCGCGGUAAUUCCAGCUCCAAUAGCGUAUAUUAAUGCUGCUGCGGUUAAAAAGCUCGUAGUUGGAUCUGGGUCAACGGCGAGCAACCAUGUAGUGUUUAAAGCUAUAUGUGAUUUGCUAGACGCGUCGUAAAAGUGCGUUAUACUUUUAAGUGUUUCGUACUGACGUAGCCUGUGCGUGUUUGUAUUGAUAUAUUCUGAUCUUUAU